GMGGGGGCCYUAAAAUGGCAAGUCGGAGCGGAACGAGUUAUCUGAACCUUCGUAGGAACGAUAACGGCGUCRAGCGGCGGACGGRWGAGUAAUGCCUAGGAAAUUGCCCUGAUGUGGGGGAUAACCAUUGGAAACGAUGGCUAAUACCGCAUGAUGCCUACGGGCCAAAGAGGGGGACCUUCGGGCCUCUCGCGUCAGGAUAUGCCUAGGUGGGAUUAGCUAGUUGGKGAGGUAAGGGCUCACCARGGCGACGAUCCCUAGCUGGUCUGAGAGGAUGAUCAGCCACACUGGAACUGAGACACGGUCCAGACUCCUACGGGAGGCAGCAGUGGGGAAUAUUGCACAAUGGGCGCAAGCCUGAUGCAGCCAUGCCGCGUGUGUGARWAAGGCCUUCGGGUUGUUAAGYACUUUCAGUCGKGAGGAAGGUGGUGUAGUUAAUAGCUGCAUUAUUUGACGUUAGCGACAGAAGUAKCACCGGCUUACUCCGUGCCAGCAGCCGCGGUUAUACGGAGGGUGRKAACGUUAAUCAKAAUUAGUGGGCGUAAAGCGCAUGCAGGUGGUUUGUUAAGUCAGAUGUGAAAACCCGGGGCUCAACUUCGGAUUAGCWUUUGAAAUUGGUGACUAGARUACUGUARAUGGGRGUUAUAAUUUCUGGUGUUGMGWUUAAAUGCGUAGAGAUCUUAARGGAUUACCRGUGGCRUAGGUGGCCCCCU
rnacentral:rRNA from 1 species